GGGGGAGUUGAGGGGCGAUACUCUCUGCUGCUUUUAUCUUCUUUUUCUCUCUUCCCCAUGCAGACCUUUCCACCUCGUCGCUGUGCUCCCCCGGAGACAGCAGCACAAGUUGGCUGUUUUUAUGCGAGCACAUCCACAGAGACACUUCUUGGUUCCCACGAGUCGGGCAGAGAGACGUGGAUCUGGAACAGAAGUGAGCAAGCCAUCAGGCUGGCUCUGUUCCUCAUGCUGGACUCUGACAGACACGAGAAUGGCAGGCUGACAUGAAUCAGGGCCAGGUAGACGAGAGCUGAGACGCUACCGGUGGGUGCUAUGUUACUGCUGCCAGCCAACGGC
ensembl:lncRNA